UAGGGAAUCUUCGGCAAUGGACGAAAGUCUGACCGAGCAACGCCGCGUGAGUGAAGAAGGUUUUCGGAUCGUAAAACUCUGUUGUUAGAGAAGAACAAGGACGUUAGUAACUGAACGUCCCCUGACGGUAUCUAACCAGAAAGCCACGGCUAACUACGUGCCAGCAGCCGCGGUAAUACGUAGGUGGCAAGCGUUGUCCGGAUUUAUUGGGCGUAAAGCGAGCGCAGGCGGUUUCUUAAGUCUGAUGUGAAAGCCCCCGGCUCAACCGGGGAGGGUCGUUGGAAACUGUGAGACUUGAGUGCAGAAGAGGAGAGUGGAAUUCCAUGUGUAGCGGUGAAAUGCGUAGAUAUAUGGAGGAACACCAGUGGCGAAGGCGGCUCUCUGGUCUGUAACUGACGCUGAGGCUCGAAAGCGUGGGGAGCAAACAGG
rnacentral:rRNA from 1 species